rnacentral:rRNA from 1 species
GACGAACGCUGGCGGCGUGCCUAAUACAUGCAAGUAGGACGCAGUUGCGAACGGGUGAGUAACGCGUAGGUAACUACCUAUUAGAGGGGGAUAACUAUUGGAAACGAUAGCUAAUACCGCAUACUAGUAGAUGGACCUGCGUUGUAUUAGCUAGUAGGUCGGGUAAUGGCCUACCUAGGCAACGAUGCAUAACCGACCUGGAAUGGUGAUCGGCCACACUGGGACGGAGACACGGCCCAGACUCCUACGGGAGGCAGCAGGAGGGAAUGUUCGGCAAUGGGGGGGACCCUGACCGAGCAACGCCGCGUGAGUGAAGAAGGUUUUCGGAUCGUAAAGCACUGUUGAUAAGGAAGCGGUACUUAACCAGAAAGGGACGGCUAACUACGUGCCAGCAGCCGCGGUGAUAC